GGUACAGAUCAGCAUCUUCCUGGCAAAACGGAUCUGCGUGUUUUGGUUCCAGGAGAAAAACAAUGCUGGUAACACAGCGACGUUCCUAGCUGUUGCUAAGCAGUGCUGCACAGAGCCAAGGCCCUUCCAGCACCGCAGCGAGCAGUGCUGGGGGAACCCAAGUCGCUGGAAGGAGAUGGAAUCUGGACAGCUGGCUUAAACUGGCCCAAGGGGUAUUCCAUAACGUGCCAUCACGUGGAAGGAGAGUUUUGAGGGAGGUGAGAGCUCAUCACUCCCUUCCACUCGCUGGGGGCCAUCAGCUGUUUUCUCUCAACCCACGGGUUCUGCUUUGUCUUUUUUUCCCCACUGGGAGAGGAGGGGAGUGGGCAAACAGCGUGGUGCCUAGCCAUGCACUGGGUUAAAGCACAGCACUGUGCUAAGGGUACCCUCACCGCCUGUCCGAAGCGGCCCAGACGAUAACCUCACAGCAAACAACUACCAGCAACAGACUCGCACAGGAUGCCUUGUGCAGGACACGCAGUCUGCCCUUGCUGGGAACCAGUUCUUCCCCACAUCCCAGGCUGCUCUAGAAAGGGAGCAUCCAAACUCAGCUUCUUCGGAGAGCGCUGGAGAUGUCUUCAAUAAAAAAUGAAAUUUAUUCUUAAAAUCAUUAAGUUGAACAUUUAAAUAAGCGAAGCAGCCUCACUACGCCUUUACCAGGGCAAUGGAUAGGCCAGAUGUGCAGCAGUUAAGAAAAGCUGCCAUCACCAUUCGGAGCUUACCUCUGUAAGGCUUACGGAACAGGGAGGGGGCUGUGCAAGCAGCAGUCCCAAUGUUUAGUAGCAGUAAUAAUACUUGAAAGGAUGCUUACAGCUCUAGGAUGUGAGAAGACCAACAGAGUUGUUCUUACACACGCAGCAGUUUUAUGAUCUAAACUUCUCCUGAGACACGAUGGACGUUCCACCACUUCCGUAUUUCAACUUAAAACUCCUCCAAACCCAGGAAAACUCCUUCCAA